UUACAGAUGUGUGCCUCCCCUCCCUUGGGCUUUCCUUAUUCUAUGUCCCCUAUUUUAUAUAUACAGAGGAUAUUUCAUAAAUCUGUGGGUUUUUUUUUUUUUCCUUUUGAGAUGGAGCCUCGCUCUUGUCGCCCAGGCUGGAGUGCAAUGGCGUGAUCUCGGCUCACUGCAACCUCCGCCUCCCUGGUUCAAGCGAUUCUCUCGCCUCAGCCUCUGACCUAGCUGGGAUUACAGGUGCCCGCCACCACGCCCCGCUACUUUUUGUUUUUGUUUUGUUGCUGUUUUGAGACGGAGUUUCGCUCUUGUUUCCCAGGCUGGAGUGCAAUGGCAAGAUCUCGGCUCACCGCAACCUCCCGCCUCCCGGGUUCAAGCGAUUCUCCUGCCUCAGCCUCCGGAGUAGCUGGGAUUACAGGCAUGCGCCACCACGCCCAGCUAAUUUUGUAUUUUUCUUCAGUAGAGACGGGAUUUCACCAUGUUGGCCAGGCUGCUCUCAAACUCCCCACCUCUGGUGAUCCACCCACCUCGGCCUCCCAAAGUGCUGGGAUUACAGGCGUGAGCCACCAGGCCCGGCCUAAUUUUUGUAUUUUUUAGUAGAGACGGGGGUUCACCAUGUUGGCCAGGCUGGUGUCAAACUCCUGACCUCAAGUGAUCCGCUCACCUCAGCCUCUUAAAGUGCUGGGAUUACAGGCAUUAGCCACUGGCCCGGCCUGUGGUGUUGUUGUUAUUGAACAUAUGUGUCUUGCUACCAGAUGGAGAGCUCCAGGUCAAAGCUGGGUUCUUGAAUCAUAGCUUCCUAAUCUUGAUCACGGAAUAAGUGCCAAGCAUAUAUAAAGUAGACCAUUUACAUAAAUAAAUUAAUAAUCAUGGCAACUCUAGAAGAUACUUAGUGAAAAAAACCCUUGAUUGUCUUUGAACCAAUCAACUAAAAUAACAUGAUGAAAUGGAGACUGGGCUUUGAAUCAAUUUGGAGUUUGCCUGGUUUCAUAAUUCAUGGUUCUUCUCAUGUAACUAAUACAAAGUCCAGCUUCUGACAUUGUAGGAGCUCAGUAGAGGUUGAACAAGCUACAAAUGUACACGGAUAGGUACCCUCUCCUAAGAUGGGCAAGUGGAGGCUCCUCUACCUUAACACUAUUCAUUUUUCCUCCAAAAUAAAUUGAUAACUAAAUUGAAGAGCAGAUACUCACAAAACAAUAUCAUGAGACUUUACAACAUCACAGAUGAUUUUAGAUAUUCAGGCAUAUUAGGUCAAUUAGACAUACGAAGUAAAUAACUGAAUGUUCUUGGGCUAGACGGAACCUCCGCUACAAACUAGCACUGAAUGAAAUGUGUCAGUUUUGAAAAAGGAGGUUUUUAUACAUUACACAACCUCUAAGGGCACUUAACAGCUCUAAUAUGUUUUAUCAGGGCCCACUGCAGCAAAAUUUAUUUUAUUGUAAAGCAAUAUUUUAUGCUAAAAUAAAAUAGUUCUAAAAGUUGUUUCCACCCCUCUUUAUGAAUAACUUCUCACUUCUCCAUGGCGAAAGAGGACUGACCACAGCAAAAAUUCGGUGGAAACCAACAGCUCCUGGAACACAAAAACUGGGGUUGUUUAUAAUCUCUCCACCCUGAAUAUCUAGCACCAUUACUAUAUAAUAAUAGGUGCUCAAUAAAGGUUUGUUAAAUAACUUUAUUUUUAAACCUUAAACAGAUACUAGAAGAGUCCAUAGUUGAUUUCUGGUCAUGCAACGGUUUAUUUCUAUAUUGUAAGUUAUGUAUUGUUAUGUAUUAUUUCUGUAUUAAGAGAACUGAGACCACAGUAGCAAACAUCAUUUAAAAAAAAAAACAGCUCUAUAUAGUUUGCAAAAGCCUAUUUUUUAAAAGUUUAAAUGAAACAACCAACGUUUUGAGUUGGGAGGAUGUCCUGUUCUCUCUUGGGAGUUUUCACAACCAGCGAAAUCAGUAUAGUUACCACUGUUUUACGUACAGAGAACAAGAAUUAGAGGCUAUCACUAGCCAGAGCACAAAGUGAUCUUAGGUCUCCCUCGAGACAAAAUCCACUGGCGUGUGGAUCAACUGCUUGCAGAGAGCAUCUGCUGCCGAGGCCAAUAGGAGCCGUGUGUACUCAAGACCCUAACCAGGAUCCUGCAGGUCCCGCCUCCGCAGCCCCACGGGGCUGCCGGCCCCCCCACCUCCCAUCGC
rnacentral:lncRNA from 10 species